AGUCGAACGCUUCUUUUUCCACCGGAGCUUGCUCCACCGGAAAAAGAAGAGUGGCGAACGGGUGAGUAACACGUGGGUAACCUGCCCAUCAGAAGGGGAUAACACUUGGAAACAGGUGCUAAUACCGUAUAACAAUCAAAACCGCAUGGUUUUGAUUUGAAAGGCGCUUUCGGGUGUCGCUGAUGGAUGGACCCGCGGUGCAUUAGCUAGUUGGUGAGGUAACGGCUCACCAAGGCCACGAUGCAUAGCCGACCUGAGAGGGUGAUCGGCCACAUUGGGACUGAGACACGGCCCAAACUCCUACGGGAGGCAGCAGUAGGGAAUCUUCGGCAAUGGACGAAAGUCUGACCGAGCAACGCCGCGUGAGUGAAGAAGGUUUUCGGAUCGUAAAACUCUGUUGUUAGAGAAGAACAAGGAUGAGAGUAACUGUUCAUCCCUUGACGGUAUCUAACCAGAAAGCCACGGCUAACUACGUGCCAGCAGCCGCGGUAAUACGUAGGUGGCAAGCGUUGUCCGGAUUUAUUGGGCGUAAAGCGAGCGCAGGCGGUUUCUUAAGUCUGAUGUGAAAGCCCCCGGCUCAACCGGGGAGGGUCAUUGGAAACUGGGAGACUUGAGUGCAGAAGAGGAGAGUGGAAUUCCAUGUGUAGCGGUGAAAUGCGUAG
rnacentral:rRNA from 1 species